AAACUCCAGACAUCUUUCCAAUACCAAAUAUAUACAUAUUGCAUGAUUUUAGAGCCUAAAACUCCAUUAAAAAACCGCCAUCUUGAAUGUUGAUCCGCCAUUUAGAAUAUUCUGGUUGCCAUUUUUGGACUUCGGACAUCUUCAUUAUACCAAAUACAGGCAUACCUCGAUAGUACGUACACCACCGCUUCGUUUAGUGUACGUACUAUCGAAACGUACGUACUAUCGAAUCACAAAUUUUAAUUUCAAAUUUCAUUUUCAAACCAAAGAAUGUUAUUUCUAGAACGUCAGGAUUGCCAAAAAAUUACAUGUUGCCUAAGGGUCCGUUUAUUAAUUACGUAAUUUUGCUUGUUUAGGAUCCUGUCUUUAUUGGAAAAAUCUUCUUGUGCUCUGGAGAUGCUUCGUACAGGCAUCUCGUCUCUGGGAACUUAUAUUGAUUUUAUUUGAACUAUUUUUGAGAAUCAUCCAAACUGGUCUAGAUAUAAUUAAAUCGAUCUAGAUCAGUUAUAUCUUGUUAUAGAAACAUUAUAGAAUUAUUUUCUCCUGCAAUAUUUAUUGCCGUGAUAUUUUCAAAACCUUCUGAACAUUGCUCCUUCUAGGACACCCCCAAGAGUUUAUUUUUUUUUCGAGAAGGGAUUCCUAGAGGUAUUUCGGAGCUCUUGGAGGAAUCCCGGAAUUCUGGAAAAAAAUUUUCAAGGAAAAAUUAUUUGAUGAAUUUUAGAAAGAAUUCCUGUAGGAAUCUCGGAAUGAAUUUCUGGAGGAAUCUUAGAAUUAAUUCAUGGAGAAAUCCCGGAACGAAAUUCCUGGAGGUAUUCAGGAAGAAAUUCCUGAAGAAAUCCUGGAAGUCUCGAAAGUAUUACAGAAGAAAUUCUUGGUAAUGUUUCGGAAGGAAUCUCUGGAGAAAUCUCUGAAAGAGACCUUGGAAUCUCAACAGGAAUCGUAGAAGAAACUCUGGAAGAAUCCCUAAGGAAUCCCAGAAAGAAUUCCUGGAAAAAUCUCGUAACCAACACUUAGAGGAAUUUCGGAACUGAAAGAAACUUGAAACUUGAAGAAAUCCCUAAAGCAAGCGAAAAAGCGGAAUGACUUUCCCUGAAUCCCACAUUUCGGGUUCACCCAGAAACAAUUGAAUUGGUACAGCCUAUAGGACAAUGCAAGCCGCGGUUGCUAAAGAAUGUUUUCCUAAGUUUUUCAUGUUUUGUGGCCUUUUUGUUUACGUUCGGACUUCUAGAGAUUUCUUCGAGAAUUUCUCAAAAAGUCCCUGGAAUCCUCCAGGAAUUACAUCCGAGAUUCUCCGAACCAAGCUCCGAACAGUUUCUUUCGGGAUGUCUCUGGAUUUGUUUUUUUUGGGCAUCCAGAUGGUAUUCCUGUUAAUUCUAACAACUUCACCUAGAAUUUCUCUUGGAGUUCUUUCGGAAAUUGUAUCAGAAAUUCUUACCGAGAUUCCUUCAAAAACUCCUUGCAACAAUCCGUAAGGAAUCCUUACUAAGUAUUUAUUCCUGGAAUUUCAUACGAGAUUCUUUCCGGAGUAUCUUCUGGCAAUUCUUCGGGAAUUUCUUCUAAAACCCUUCCAGAAAUCCUACAAUAUCCCUGACAAGAGCUUCAUUCAGUAUUCCUCUAAAAGCUUCUCCGAGAUCCCUCCAGGAACUUCUCCUGGUUUUUUUUUCGGGAGAUACUUCUGAUUUAAGUAUUCCUUCUGGGAUUCCUACAAUAAUUUUACCAGGUAAACUUUCUGGGAUUUUUUCAGGAUUCUUUCAGAAAUUCCUUCCGGGAUUCCUCCGUGAAUUUCUUCUGGAUGACUGUCAGGAAUUACUUUUCAGGAACUUCUUCCGGGAUUCCUCUUAGAGCUUCUUCUAGGAAUUCUUUCAGAAACGGAUUCCGGUAUUUCUUCGAGAACUUUUUCCAGGAAUCAUCUAGGGACUCUUUUUUGGUUUCUACCAAGAGCUCCGUCAGGAAUUCUUGCAGACGCUUCUGGAAUUCUUUCAGAUGUUUGUAAUGGAAAUCCUUCUGGAAUUCAUUAUGGAUUUUUUAGAGUAUUUUGUUUUUGGUAAUCCUCAGGAGUUUCUGUAGGACUUUUUUGAAUAAACAAUAAGCAACUUAGUUAUAGCUCCCUCCUAGAGGAAUUAUAGAAUAAGUUUGUGGAGAAACCACAGAAGGAAUACCUGGAAGAGCUUCAGGAAAAAUUACUAAGGUAGAAGGAGUAAUGCUGAAGGAAUCUCGAAAUUAAUUUCUACAGAAAUCCAGGAGUCUCUGGAAGAAUCGCGGGAAACUUCUUGGAACAAUCCUGGCAAGAGUUUUUGACGGAACCCCAGGUGGAACCUCUUAAGGAAUCUCAGAAAAAAAACUCCUGGGAAAACUCCAGAGGGAACUUCUAAAGGAAUCCUAAAUAAACUUUCGGAAGAAUUUUAUUAAGAGCUUACGGAAUCCCAGAAGAACGCUCUGGAACAAAUUUGUGGACAAACCACGAGGGGAGUCCCGGAUGGAAUUCUUGUGGAAUCCCAGAAGGAACUCCAUGAGGUGAGCCACCAUCAAGUUAUAAAACAGCACACGCACGUAUACCCCCAAAUCCAACCACUCAUGAUAAGCUGGCGUGUUUUUUUUAAUGCGAGAGCUGACGAUUUUUUUAAGUCCGAAUCGUUAACAAAAAGCCACGAAACGUCAAAAACUAUGAACAUUUUCCUUAGCAACCGCGGCAUGCAGUGCCCUACGGCACUCAAAGUUGUUUAAAUUUCCGAACUCAUGGAAAACUGUCAAAUAUUGUAUACGUAUCGUACAAAAACAUUAAUUGUAGGAAAACGAAAAACAAUAACAAGUAAGUGAACUGAAAUCAAUGGUUUGGAUAAGUAACUUAAUGGGUUUGAUUCAUGUUUUGGAGAGCAAUCUUCGCCGAGAAAUUUAGUUUUUUUUAUUACGACACAAAAUAGAACCAUCAUGUGCCUUUUUAUUUUAUUACAACGUUCUAUUGGUGAAGAAAGCGUUCAGUUAAUAACUGUGCAAGUGCUUAUUGAUCACUAAGCUGAGAAGCAGUCCUCCCCAGCUGGGAUGUAACGCCAGAAUGAUGAUGCCAGAUAUUAUGACUGGCAGAAAAUAUCUAUGUAAAGCGAAGAAUACUGCAAUCAUUACAUCAAACGUAUUCGUUCAUGUCUUCCAUUUCGCUACAUUUUAAAACUGCUUAUAGGUUCCCAAACUUUUGAGGUGCGCGACCCCCUUUUGUCAGUUGACGUGCUUUCGGCGACCCACCAUAGAAAUUCCCUCAUUUGUUGUCUGUUACAAUCAGGCCCGGAUUAAGGAUUGUGGAGUAGGCCUGUCCAGCUUUUCAAAAAUGUUCUCUGAUUCUCAAGUCCACCCCCAUAUUUUGAUUGGCAUCCUAAAAGAAGUAACUGGUCCAAAUUUCAGCCAAAUCCAUUAAAAUUAAGAGGUGCAUCAAAUCAAUUUUGUGUUUUUCGACUAUUUUUGAACUUCAAAAAAUUAUAACUACACUAAAACAUGUCAAAACUUAAUUCUUUCGGCAGAAAUUGAAAGCUAUACUUGUUUGCUACAACUUCUCCGAACAACGUGUGCCAAUAAAAUUGAAGGAAACAUGUGUAAUUAUCACAUUUGUAAUCAGAAAAACCUUAAAAAGUUGAGUUUUUGAUAGAUUUUGUUCUGGAAUACCCUAAUAUACGUAAUAAGAUGGAUUUUUCAAAACGGCAUCAUAUUCUCCAAUGUUUUUUUGGUUAUUUGCUUCUUUGGCACCAAUGCUGUAGGAGUUGCGCAAAAAUUACUAAAAUUCGUGAAAGUCAAAUGUGGCCUGAAAACUAGCUUUUCGGGUGCAAUCACGCUUUGGCGCGUGGCAUCGCGUCAGCACUGAUAUUAUAGCCAACACCUGUCAUCGCGCUUGUUUGUUAUCACCCGUGGUAGGGGGUAGCCAAGGCAAACUACUAGGAAGCAAAGCUACUACGUUCAGUACACUUUCGCGCCACAACGUGAUUGCCUCCAAAAAGCUAGUUUUUAGGCCACAUUUGACUUUCACGAAUUUUAGUAAUUUUUGCUCAACUCCUACAGCAUUGGUGUCAAAGAAGCAAAUAACCAAAAAACAUUGGAGAAUAUGAUGCCGUUUUGAAAAAUCCAACUUAUUAAGUAUAUUAGGGUGUUCCAGAACGAAAUCUAUCAAAAAAUCAACUUUUUAAGGUUUUUCUGAUUACAAAUGUGAUAAUUACACAUGUUUCCUUCAAUUUUAUUGGCACACGUUGUUCGGAGAAGUUGUAGCAAACAAGUAUAGCUUUCAAUUUCUGCCGAAAGAAUUAAGUUUUGACAUGUUUUAGAGUAGUUAUGAUUUUUUGAAGUUCAAAAAUAGUUGAAAAACACAAAAUUGAUUUGAUGCACCUCUUAUUUUCAACGGAUUUGGCUGAAAUUUUGACCAGUUACUUCUUUUAGGAUGCCAAUCAAAAUAUGGGGGUGGACUUGAGAAUCAGAUAACAUUUUUGAAAAGCUGGACAGGCCUAUUGUGGAGGCCCAGGGCCCGAGCGGAUGUGGAGGACCCUCGGAGAGAUGACCUUUUUUCCAAUAGAGGUAAUAAACUAUAGAGGAAGAAUGUCGCUGGCGUCGCUGCCGAAACAUCUCUUGCUGGCGGAGAUAGGCCGGGCUAUAAGUGUCAAAGCGAAAAAGUAUGCAGUUUGACAGAUAGAUACCCGACAUGUUUGCGAGCGAAAACAAAGGGAACAGCAGCGACAUUCGUCAUCUAUAGUUUAUUAACUCUAUUUUUUUUCCUCACUUUCGAACAGUACUAAAAGGUUUUUGUGGGGGCCCUAAAAUGUGCGGGCCCGGGCCUCACCGCCCCCCCCCCCCUUACAUCCGGCCCUGAUUACAGUAAAUUAUUCGACUGACUCUCGCGACCCGCUGGAUGAAGGCCGGCGACCCCCCUUGGGGGUCGUAACCCACAGUUUGGGAAACCAUGACUGAAAAUCCGUGUUAUAGGAGUCUGCAUAACACAAAUUCAUAGUAUCGGAGUCUCUGCUAUACGUCUACUAAUGAUUCGAACCCAUUUUUGUAGAUUAAAAAUUAAAUAAAUUUUGGUGUACGUACUAUCGAGGCAAAAUGUACGUACUAUCGAGGGUACGUACUAUCGAGGGUACGUACUAACGAGGGUACGUACUAUCGAGGUACGCCUGUAUGUAUAUGUAUACCCAUUGUUGUCAGCGCGCAAUUCCACUGGACUGGCAACGCUUAUCCAUAUACUACCACACGAAUAAACAGCACUACCUUCGAUAGUAGGUAGACACAGAGAACUGGCAGGGAGAUGCGGGAAGAUGAUAAGGCAUAAUUGAUGAAAUGUUAUUGCUAUUGCGGCCUAAACGAACACACUAUUUUUGCUAAAAUUUGUUUCUCUAAAAACUGCAUGAAAUGUUAGUGAAUUCUUAAUCUAGUGUUAGUCAAAGUUAAAACCUAAAUACCUAUCAUUCGUUAGUACGCUUAACCUACACGAACCACUCCCGAUUGAUUACGGAUUAAAUUGAUCCCUAAUUACACGAAUAAUUAGUUGGUAUCCCAUGCAACAUUUACCGUCAGAGCAUCAAUUGCCGUCUGACUCCGAGCGAAUAGUAAACGAAUUUUAUAAUCCACCUUGGAUUCGAAUAAACGGAUUAUAAAAACGGAAUCUGCUCUUUGUUGUAUGGUGAGUCAACACCCAUAUUGCAUUGCAUUGAAUUUGGAGCCGCCAUCUUGAAUAUUAGGCUGCUAUCUUGAAUUUUAGGUCGACAUCGUGGAAUUUCUUGUCUCCAGUGUUCAUUUUCGCAGAAAAUUCGUCAACCAUACUAAAGGUUACAAAAAUCGCCGCAGUUUGAUGUGUCGCAUGAUGGGGCUUGGUUCAGUUUAAUAUACGGCCAGUUCCACCAUUGCUGGUCCGGAUCACUGAAAUGGCCAUAACUCUGGAACGCCUGGACCGAUUCGAACUAUUUUUAAUAGCAAACAAUGCGGAAAAAUUCCGGUUCGAUUCGAGCUAUAAUCCGAAAAAUCGGGCAAUGAGCCAAUGGCUUAAAUUGAGUGAACUUUUUUUGCACACAGACAUGUAUACAUACACACAUACAUACUCACAUACAGACAUCAUCUCAAUUCGUCGAACUUUUGAGUGAACAUGAUAUGUUCACUUUUUGAGUGAACAUAUAACCUUUCAGUAAACUUCGGUGUACGAGAAAGGCAAAAAUGUGCAAGAAAUCAAAACUAAAUUUUAAGAAAUGAAAUUUAGUACAGGUCGGACUCAAUUAUCCGGAGUCAAGUACCCACACAUAUAUCUGGGGAACAGAAUGUUGUAUAAAGCUUAAAUUUUGAUAUUUUGUCAAACCAACUUUGAUUGAAAACUGAUUAAAAUUUCAGCUUUGUAAUCCAUUCCGUUCCCCAGAUAUAUGUUUGGAGAGGUUCAGAAGGUUCAGAAGUUCAGAAUAUCCUAACCACAGGACCAAACAUAGCUGUUGACUUGGCUCAAAAUAGCAGCUGAAAUUCAGGGGAUGAAAUUCAGAUUCGAACACAUGUCACGUCAAAACCGUAACAACAAUAGUUUGUCGAUUAUUUUUACACUCGUAUAAAAAAUAACUGCAAUUAUCGUAUUCCAAUUAUUUCAUCAAGUAUUUCUUUUCAAGUAUUCCUCGAAGCGUUUUUGCGGGAAUUUCUUCAGGACAAAGUAAAUACGGUAAGUUGCCUUCGGGGAUAUUUUUUUACGAUUUAUCUAGCAGUUACUUCAAACACUUAUACAAAAAAUCCUAUGAGAUUAACUUCAGAACUUUUUUUCAGGGAUUGCUUCAGAAAUUCUUCUAAGCAUUGAUUUAGGAAUAGUUACAAUGAUUCCUCAGGAACUCCUCCAAGCAUUUCUUCGGCAACUUUUCAAGAAACCCUUCAGGAAUUCCUUCAAGAUUUUUUUUUGGAAUUUCUUCCAGCAUUCGUUCAGGAUAUCUCUUCGGAUUCCUUCAGAAAGUUCUUCAAGGAUUAUGCCAUGAAUUUCUCCAAGGAUUCCUUAAGAUGUUUUUCCAAGAAGGAAUCUUGCAGGAGCUUCUCAUGAAAAAUAUCUUUCAUGAGUUUCUGAGAUCAUGCUUGGAGCCACACCUGAAUGGAUCAUUGGGAGAUUUUCUAAGGGAAAUUUAAAAGAAUUUCCGAAGGAAUCCUUGUAGUAAUGCUUGCAGGAAUUUUUGGGGGUAUUUCUAAAGGAAUCUUUGAAGAAUCGUCUAGAUGAAUUCGGAAAGAAUCUUUGGGUUGAUUUUUGAGGUAUUUUUGAUAACUUGUUUGAAUAAUUUCUACAGUACUAUAAAGUAGUGCUAGAAGUACUGGGAGUAAGUUGAGGAUUUGUGUAAAGGUUUGCUGAAGACAUUUUGAAAGCAAAGGGAUUCUGGAAUAGCUAAUGUUGAAAUGCCUUUAUGAUUUCUCAAAGUAAUCAAUGGUGGAAGCCCCAUAGAAUUCCUUUCAAAUUCUUUGAAGCAAAUAAAAAAAAUCUUCAUAAGAAUUCCUAUAUAUUUCCUUGGAGGAAUUUCUGUAGGAGGCCUUGGGGGUAAUUUCUGUAGAACCACCUGAGAAAUUUUUGCAGGAAUCCUUUGGGGAUGCAUGUGUUCACUCUUGUAGGGUUAUCUGAAAGAAAAUUGUGAGAAAUCCCUGAAUGAAUCUUUUUAACGUAGCUUGAAAAAAAAAUCCUUCGAGAGAAAGAUUAACUGGACUUUUUUAAAGGAUUCCUGAACGAAUUGUGGAAGAGGACUUGGAAAAAUCUCAUAAGGAAUCUUUGAACGAUUUCCUACAGCACUUAUUGGAUGAAUUUCUAAAGAAAUCUCUGCAGGUAGGGUAAUUUUCCAAUUAUUGCACGGCUAAAAAUUCGCCAAUUAUUGCACACCUCUUAAGAAUAACAUGGAGCGGACCUGGUUGGAUGGUUAGAACACGUGACUAUCACGCCGAGGACCUGGGAUCGAAUCCCACUCCCGACAAACUCACAAAAUGUGAGUUCUUCCUUCGGAAGGGAAGUAAAGCGUUCGGGACCCACGAUGAACUAGCCCAGGGCUAAAAAUAUCGUUAACACAGAUAAAAAAAAAAUGAAAAAUUACCCUAUAAUCAAAGAAAUGCUUGAACAAAUUUGUAAGAAAUCCUGUAACAAAGACCGUUUGAUGCAUCGCAAAAGAAAUUCUUGAAAAAAAAAAUAUAAAAAAAAUCCUCAAGGAAUUCCUAAAGGAUUCGUCUGGAAAACGGCUGAAGUGACUAUGUGGGGUAGCCCCAAAAGAAACCUUUGCAGGAGUUUCUAACAAAAUCCUUGAAGAAAUUCUGAAAGAAUAUUUGGAUUACUUCCAAGAGAUUUUUUGAAGAAAUAUUUAAAAAAUCCGUGGAAAAAUUCCCGCAGGAAUUCUUGAAGCGCUUCCUGAAGAAUUCCCGAUGGAAAUCUUGACCUUGCAAAGGAAUGAAGCGCUUUUUGUUUUGUUUCUAAUGUUUGUAUUUUUGUUAGAAGUGAGCACGAAUGAUAACAAAAUUGCAUAAUCAAUCGGUACCGCAAUGGUUUUGUUUUCGAAUAGGAUGAAUUUGGGAUUGUAAGAUGACUAAGGUCAUGUUGACCCUACCAGGUAUUCUCAGAGAUCUUUUUAAAUUAUUUUUUGGAGGAAUUUCUAGGGGAAUCAUUAGUAAAUCCUGGUGAAAUUCUUGACUGUGAUGCAUGAUGGAAACUUUAAACUUUUAAGAAGUCUUAUCAAAAAUCGCAAUAGGAAUUUUUAGAAGAGCAAUUUGAGAAUUUGAGAAUUUGCUGUAAGAGAAAACGGCAAUGAGAAUCCUUGGAUUUUUUUUUAAAUUUUUAUCCAAUGAAUUAUUUGGAAAUUUCUUGGAGGAAUUCUAGAAUGAAUCAAUUAGUAAAACCUUAGAGAAACUCCUUCAAGAAUCCUUUCAGAAAUUUUUCGAAAAAAAGCAUUGCAGUAAUUUUUGAAGGAAUCCUUGGAGGAAUUUCUGAAAGAAACCUUAGAAAAAAAUCUUUAGAAAUCCCUAAAAGAACGCCAAGAUGCUAAGAUGCUUGAGCAAAUGCUAAGGUUAUUUCUUGGAGAGAUCUCUGUAAGGGCAUUGUGAGAGAAUAAUUGAGAAAUCCAUGAAGAAUCUAUGCAGAAAUUUUAUUGCUGUGUGCGUUCAAGAUGCAAACGGUGCCCAAAUGCGCUUCAAACGCGGUAACACAUGUUACCAAAGCAAUGUAGCAACCAUAGCCAAAAUCACCUCCAACCUAGGAUUCGAAGGCUCCCACUGACAUCGGGUUACUUGUUAGAAAAUCUUACCGCAUUUGGUGGUUCCGCAUUUGAUAUUUGCAUUUUGAAUGUACACAGCAAUACCCGAGCAGGAGAAAAUAGCUGAAGAAUACCUUACUCAGGUAUGGAAAACCGAAUACCUACAACCUGAAUGAGGUAUUAAGUAGCCCUGCAUAAGAGGUAAAAUACCUAAAAUAAUAACUGGUGUGUAUUCUGUGCAUAACGCAUGAAUAAUGACUUCAGGUAUGGCAAUACCUUAAUAAUAAUCGACUAUUUUUCCAUAUAAAUAGCUAUUUUUCCAUAAUUGAAUAAUACCUCAAGCAGUCCUCAACACCAAACCAAUACUUCGUUGAGGUAUUUUAUCAAUAUCUACAAAAUACCAAAAUAAGUUAUUUUCAAUACCUGGAUAACCAAUCAAUACCUUGUCUUGGUAUGAUACCUGACUUCGGUAUGCUCCAAUUAUGUGUCAGUAAUUCAUUCCUGCUCAGGUAUAAGGACUUCCAUUCCUCUGGCACAAUUCCGAUGUAAUUUUUUGAAAGAUUCUUUGGUUCCGAAGGAAUCAUUGGAGAGUUAUUUGUAGUAGUUUUUUUCGAGAACUUCUUAAGAGUGGCCUUCCAGACAAAUCCUCAGAGAUAUAAUUGAUAGGACUUGGUGGACUUCCUGAACAAAUGAUACAAUAAAUACUUAAUAAAGCCUUUGAAAGAAUCUUUUGAAGUUCUCUGAAGUACUUGUGAAAACAUUUUGGGAGGUUUAAAUGUAUAGAUUUAUCAUUGAAAAACAUGCACAUCUGUAAUUUUCACGGGGGUUCACAAAUUUGGUUCUGCACCGGGCUUCCAAAUUCCUAGCUACGCCACUGGAAACCAUUAAAAAUAGUUUUUGAUCCACAAAAUUGCUUCUAAUUGUUUUUUUUUCAGUCUAAGAACAAGUCCUUUUCCUCAUCAACCGAAACACAAGCUUCAAGUAUUAGUCUGAGCUGUGCAAUAAAUUCCACUAGAAAAGCCCAGUAAAUGCCAAACCUCACCGCUUCAAAAAGCAAUAAAUAAAACCCUUGGUGAAUGGGCGAAUAUCUCUCGGCGAACACCCACGCACAACGGCAGCAGUCACUAGCAGUCAAGACACUUCAUCGCUGCGUAACGAAUACCUACAGAGGUAUACCGUUCCGAAGUUUGCGCCAUAGAGAGUCCGCCGUUUAAUACCGCAUGAUGAUGGUGCGGAAGCUUUGUUUACUUUCGUUUCCAAUCCAGAGAGUGCAAUGCAACUAAACUUGGUCCAUGCAACAGACUACUCGCACUGCGUGUACCUACCAUACCAUGGGAAGAGAUUUAGCCGGCGGAACAUUUAGGUUCCAACAACAAGUGUGCUUAAAUAGCUGAGUUGUAUCAUGGGGCUCUUGUCUGGCUGACCGGCCGGCCUCGGUACCUACCUACUAUAUAUCUAUAAAGAAAACUAAUUGCAUUUUGUCCUGUUGCCAAGUGCCUGUGGCAGCUUUGCUCAUCUCGAUGUGCAUUGGGGGGUAGCGCAUUUCAUGCUACCAUAGAAAAUGGAGAUAUGUAGUAUUUUCGAGAGAAGCUUACAGGGGUCUCAAAGAAGGUUUCACAACGAGUUUCAAGAUGG